UGAUGCAUACUCUGAGGCUGCGAUUCUGGUUUCCCGGCUUCCCCAUUUUCCAGUGGAAGGUACAGGUUGAGGAUGGGGAACCCUGUGCCCCUCAGUGGAUUUUGGCCAGUCCUUCCCUUGCUCCUGGCUGUCUUCCCAAGAGUGUUUUCCUUCCACUCAUAAGCAGCACGGCUCUGGUCUCAGAGGCCUAGCAGGGCUGGCCUGGGAGAGAAGUUGGGCGGUGUCCUGGAUGGAGCUGCUCCCCAAAGAGCAAGCUGAAGGUCAGCUAGGGGAGGAAAAAGGGCCUGGGCCGUAAUUCCCACUCUAGGAGUGUUUGCCACAGAGAAGUGCCUCCUGGCAUGGGGCCGGGAGGAAAGGGGGUGCUCUGAUCUGUAAAUGCCCUGAUCCGACACACUCUCACAGGAUAGCCGACCUCAUGUUUUCAGAAAUGAGCCAGAAGUUCAGCAAAGGUACAGAAGUUGUUUCCGGGGAAUACUGCCAUCAUUAUCUCUGAAAGGCAAGUCAGUGGAAAUUGUUAUUUUCCAUUUGCAGAGGGACAAAUGGAAGCUUUCUUUCUCAUUUACCAAUUACAGAAUGUCCACUCUGUUCAAAGUACUGUGCUGAGAUUUUUAUCAGAUACAAAGAUGUACAAGACAAGGUUCUUGUUCUGAAGGAGAAUGCCAUAAUCUUAUCUGGAUGGAACGAUAUUUCUGUGCAAAAUUAACUAUAACUUGGGAGCAUGCAAUGUGAAGCGUUUGAGCAUACACAGUGCAAGACGGACCAGAGGGAAUUCAAAAGGAAAACCAAGCUUCUUAACCUGUACCAUGUGACAGUGAAAUUCAAAUCAAGCCCUGUGCGUUAAAGGGGCAACUGCAAAGGCACCCAUCUUGCAAGAGAGCUAACAUUUAAGACAUAAGGCAAAACUCAGGAACCGAAAAGGAAAAUGCUGAUAAAGGCAUUCGUGUAAAACCUUAAAAACUUUUAUAUGGUAAAAACAAAAAUGAUGACAACACCAACAAGCAAACACCAUGGUAAAAACAAAAAUGAUGACAACACCAACAAGCAAACACCAUAAACAGAGCCAAAGACAAAUGGCACAGUAGAAAAAAUUAUUUGCAAUCCAACAGAAAAAGUGCUUAUUUAUUUUACUAAGAGAUCUUAUAGUUUU